UGUUGAAACAUCAGUUCCCGUACAAUCACCAAAGUUAAGCAACGUUGAGCCUGGUCAGUACCCAGAUGAGUGGCAGCUUGAGAAUAUCAGGAGCUGUAAG